UGGGGAGUACGGCCGCAAGGUUAAAACUCAAAUGAAUUGACGGGGGCCCGCACAAGCGGUGGAGCAUGUGGUUUAAUUCGAUGCAACGCGAAGAACCUUACCUGGUCUUGACAUCCACAGAAGAAUCCAGAGAUGGAUUUGUGCCUUCGGGAACUGUGAGACAGGUGCUGCAUGGCUGUCGUCAGCUCGUGUUGUGAAAUGUUGGGUUAAGUCCCGCAACGAGCGCAACCCUUAUCCUUUGUUGCCAGCGGUUAGGCCGGGAACUCAAAGGAGACUGCCAGUGAUAAACUGGAGGAAGGUGGGGAUGACGUCAAGUCAUCAUGGCCCUUACGACCAGGGCUACACACGUGCUACAAUGGCGCAUACAAAGAGAAGCGACCUCGCGAGAGCAAGCGGACCUCAUAAAGUGCGUCGUAGUCCGGAUUGGAGUCUGCAACUCGACUCCAUGAAGUCGGAAUCGCUAGUAAUCGUGGAUCAGAAUGCCACGGUGAAUACGUUCCCGGGCCUUGUACACACCGCCCGUCACACCAUGGGAGUGGGUUGCAAAAGAAGUAGGUAGCUUAACCUUCGGGAGGGCGCUUACCACUUUGUGAUUCAUGACUGGGGUGAAGUCGUAACAAGGUAACCGUAGGGGAACCUGCGGUUGGAUCACCUCCUUACCUUAAAGAA
rnacentral:rRNA from 1 species